rnacentral:rRNA from 1 species
GAUGAACGCUGGCGGCGUGCCUAAUACAUGCAAGUCGAGCGAACGGACCAGAAGCUUGCUUCUCUGAUGUUAGCGGCGGACGGGUGAGUAACACGUGGAUAACCUACCUAUAAGACUGGGAUAACUUCGGGAAACCGUAGCUAAUACCGGAUAAUAUUUUGAACCGCAUGGUUCAAAAGUGAAAGACGGUCUUGCUGUCACUUAUAGACGGAUCCGCGCUGCAUUAUCUAGUUGGUAAGGUAACGGAUUACCAAGGCAACGGUGCAUAGCCGACCCGAAAGGGUCGAUCACCAGCCGGGCAGAGAGACAGGUCACCGACAUCGAGGCGAGGAAGCAGUAGGAAAUCUUCCGCAAGGCGGGAGUGCGUAACGGAGCGACAUGGGGGGAGGGAUGACGGUCCUCGGCUGGUAGAACUCUGUUAUUAGGGAAGAACAUAUGUGUUAGUAACUGUGCCGAUCUUGACGGUACCUAAUCAAAAAGCCACGGCUAACUACGUG